CACGUAGGGUGCGAGCGUUGUCCGGAAUUAUUGGGCGUAAAGAGCUCGUAGGCGGUGUGUCGCGUCGGCCGUGAAAACCUGCAGCUUAACUGUGGGCGUGCGGGCGAUACGGGCAGACUGGAGUACUGCAGGGGAGACUGGAAUUCCUGGUGUAGCGGUGGAAUGCGCAGAUAUCAUGAGGAAGACCAGUGGCGAAGGCGGGUCUCUGGACAGCUCCUGACACUGAGACACGAAGGCCAGGGGAGCAAACGGG
rnacentral:rRNA from 1 species